ACGAACCGUUAAACACCCAAAUACCCCUCAAAUAUGGAAGAAUCUCAUAAAUAACACUAGUAAAUACAUUACUACAUUCAGUGACUUCCCUCCCUUACCUGAAGAUACGCCGUUCUUAACAGGCCAAGGCAUGCAUGAAUACUUCACCAGAUAUGCUGAGGCUCAUCAGCUUUUACAAUUUGUUCAAUUCAACACUCGAGUUAUAAAGAUUCACAAGACACGUGACCACGAGAAAACUGGCCAAUGGGAGGUGUUUUCGUGUCCUGCAAGUGGGUGUAGUCCUGAUGACGUCAGUACUGAAAACAAAUCUAAAGACACUGAUAUGGACAAAUGCAAGAAAAUAGUCUUUGAUUUUGU